rnacentral:tRNA from 1 species
GACCGCGUAGCUCAGUUGGCAGAGCAUUGGGCUAGUAUUCCAAAGGUCGUAGGUUCAAUUCCCACUGUGGCCA